rnacentral:rRNA from 1 species
GUGGGGAAUAUUGGACAAUGGGCGCAAGCCUGAUCCAGCCAUACCGCGUGGGUGAAGAAGGCCUUCGGGUUGUAAAGCCCUUUUGUUGGGAAAGAAAUCCAGCUGGCUAAUACCCGGUUGGGAUGACGGUACCCAAAGAAUAAGCACCGGCUAACUUCGUGCCAGCAGCCGCGGUAAUACGAAGGGUGCAAGCGUUACUCGGAAUUACUGGGCGUAAAGCGUGCGUAGGUGGUUAUUUAAGUCCGUUGUGAAAGCCCUGGGCUCAACCUGGGAACUGCAGUGGAUACUGGAUGACUAGAAUGUGGUAGAGGGUAGCGGAAUUCCUGGUGUAGCAGUGAAAUGCGUAGAGAUCAGGAGGAACAUCCAUGGCGAAGGCAGCUACCUGGACCAACAUUGACACUGAGGCACGAAAGCGUGGGGAGCAA